rnacentral:tRNA from 1 species
GUGGAUGUAGCUCAAUUGGUUAGAGCGUCGGACUGUGGCUCCGAAGGCUGGGGGUUCGAGACCCCUCAUUCACCCCA